AANCUGUUUAGCAGAGUAAGAUAAAGGNCAAGUGGAAUUCCCAUGUGUAGUGGUAAAAUGCGUAAAUAUAUGGAGGAACNCCAGUAGCGAAAGGCGGCUUGNUGGGGUCNUUACUGACGCUGAGGCACGAAAGCGUGGGGAGCAAACAGGAUUAGAUACCCUGGUAGUCCACGCCGUAAACGAUGAGUANUAAACGUUGGGUAAAACCAGUGUUGAAGUUAACACAUUAAGUACUCCGCCUGAGUAGUACGUACGCAAGUAUGAAACUUAAAGGAAUUGACGGGACUCCGCACAAGCGGUGGAUCAUGUUGUUUAAUUNGAAGGUACCCGAAAAACCUCACCAGGUCUUGACAUGCUUUUGCAAANCUGUAGAAACACAGUGNAGGUUAUCAGUUGCACAGGUGGUGCAUGGUUGUCGUCAGCUCGUGUCGUGAGAUGUUGGGUUAAGUCCCGCAACGAGCGCAACCCUUAUUGUUAGUUACCAGCACGUAAUGGUGGGGACUUUAGCAAGACUGCCAGUGAUAAAUUGGAGGAAGGUGGGGACGACGUCAAAUCAUCAUGCCCCUUAUGACCUGGGCNNCNAACGUGAUACAAUGGCUGUUACAAAGGGUAGCUGAAGCGCAAGUUUUUGGCGAAUCUCAAAAAACCANUCUCAGUUCGGAUNGAAGUCUGCAANUCGACUUCCAUGAAAGUNGAAAUCGGUAGUAUUNGUGAGAGUCCNGGUACNNNCCGGUNACANUACUGAGGAGC
rnacentral:rRNA from 1 species